rnacentral:rRNA from 1 species
GACGAACGCUGGCGGCGUGCUUAACACAUGCAAGUCGAACGGAAAGGCCCUGCUUUGGUGGGGUGCUCGAGUGGCGAACGGGUGAGUAACACGUGAGUAACCUGCCCUUGACUUUGGGAUAACUUCAGGAAACUGGGGCUAAUACCGGAUAGGAGCUCCUGCUGCAUGGUGGGGGUUGGAAAGUUUCGGCGGUUGGGGCUGGACUCGCGGCUUAUCAGCUUGUUGGUGGGGUAGUGGCUUACCAAGGCUUUGACGGGUAGCCGGCCUGAGAGGGUGACCGGCCACAUUGGGACUGAGAUACGGCCCAGACUCCUACGGGGGGCAGCAGUGGGGAAUAUUGCACGAUGGGCGGAAGCCUGAUGCAGCAACGCCGCGUGCGGGAUGACGGCCUUCGGGUUGUAAACCGCUUUCGCCUGUGACGAAGCGUGAGUGACGGUAAUGGGUAAAGAAGCACCAGCUAACUACGUG